UACGUAGGGGGCUAGCGUUGUCCGGAUUUAUUGGGCGUAAAGAGCUCGUAGGUGGUUCGGUUAGUCGGAUGUGAAAUCUCCAGGCUCAACCUGGAGGGGUCAUUCGAUACUGCCGUGACUAGAGUUCGGUAGAGGAGUGUGGAAUUCCUGGUGGAGCGGUGAAAUGCGCAGAUAUCAGGAGGAAUACCGAUGGCGAAGGCAGGUCUCUGGGCUAUAACUGACGCUCAUGCACGAAAGCGUGGGGAGCAAACAGG
rnacentral:rRNA from 1 species